AGCAGCCGCGGUAAUUCCAGCUCCAAUAGCGUAUAUUAAAGUUGUUGCAGUUAAAAAGCUCGUAGUUGAAUUUCGGGAUCAAUUAGUCGGUCGUGCCUCUGGUACGUACUGGUUUUAUUGGUUCCUCCCUUCUGACGAAACAUGAUGUCAUUAAUUUGGUGUCGUGGAGAAUCAGGACUGUUACCUUGAAAAAAUUAGAGUGUUUAUAGCAGGCUAACGCUUGAAUACAUUAGCAUGGAAUAAUGAAAUAGGACGUUCGACCCUAUUUUGUUGGUUUCUAGGAUCGACGUAAUGAUUAAUAGGGAUAGUUGGGGGCAUUAGUAUUCAAUUGUCAGAGGUGAAAUUCUUGGAUUUAUUGAAGACUAACUACUGCGAAAGCAUUUGCCAAGGAUGUUUUCAUUAAUCAAGAACGAAAGUUAGGGGAUCGAAGACGAUCAGAUACCGUCGUAGUCUUAACCAUAAACUAUGCCGACUGGGGAUCGGAUGAUGUUAAUUUUUUAAUGACUCAUUCGGCGCCUUA
rnacentral:misc_RNA from 1 species